GCAUACCUCGCCUGUGCUCGGAUUUUGCGGACAAUCCAUUAACAUCUGAGCUCUGCGUCUACCAUCGUUACAGCAAACUAACUGUAGCCUUUUUCUCUUUUCCCAUAGAAACCUCCGCGCCAUGAGAGCAAAGUGGAGGAAGAAGCGAAUGCGCAGGCUGAAGCGCAAAAGGAGAAAGAUGAGGCAGAGGUCCAAAUAAACCGGCUGGCUGUGCACUCGUGAAGGCCACAAGAGAAGGAACAUGGGAUGCCAGAGGCUAAGGAGGCUAGUACAAGCUGCUGGACUGCAUGCUACUGUCUGGAAUUUGCUCUCAGUGGAUAUAAGACCUCAUCGCCAUCCGAUCACCAAGACCACCCCUGAGAGACCCACCUUGCUCACACCAAAACAGUCCCUUGCCCUGGACCUGACAUCCUGGACUCGUUCUGUUUAUCACUUGUGGCUGAGUGUAACCAGUAUACAAUAAAUCAUACCUUCUGCUGUUUCGGCUGAUGAAGCAAA